AUUGAACGCUAGCGGCAUGCUUAACACAUGCAAGUCGAACGAGCGGCGGACGGGUGAGUAAUGUCUGGGAACCUGCCUGAUGGCGGGGGAUAACUACUGGAAACGGUAGCUAAUACCGCAUACCAUCAGAUGUGCCCAUAUGGGAUUAGCUAGUUGGUGGGGUAAUGGCUCACCUAGGCAACGAUCCCUAGCUGGUCUGAGAGGAUGACCAGCCACACUGGAACUGAGACACGGUCCAGACUCCUACGGGAGGCAGCAGUGGGGAAUAUUGCACAAUGGGCGCAAGCCUGAUGCAGCCAUGCCGCGUGUGUGAAGAAGGCCUUCGGGUUGUAAAGCACUUUCAGCGAGGAGGCGGUACCCGCAGAAGAAGCACCGGCUAACUCCGUGCCAGCAGCCGCGGUAAUAC
rnacentral:rRNA from 1 species